GACGAACGCUGGCGGCGUGCCUAAUACAUGCAAGUAGAACGCACAGUUUAUACCGUAGCUUGCUACACCAUAGACUGUGAGUUGCGAACGGGUGAGUAACGCGUAGGUAACCUGCCUGGUAGCGGGGGAUAACUAUUGGAAACGAUAGCUAAUACCGCAUAAUAUUGAUUAUUGCAUGAUAAUUGAUUGAAAGAUGCUAUUGCAUCACUACCAGAUGGACCUGCGUUGUAUUAGCUAGUAGGUGAGGUAACGGCUCACCUAGGCGACGAUACAUAGCCGACCUGAGAGGGUGAUCGGCCACACUGGGACUGAGACACGGCCCAGACUCCUACGGGAGGCGGCAGUAGGGAAUCUUCGGCAAUGGACGAAAGUCUGACCGAGCAACGCCGCGUGAGUGAAGAAGGUUUUCGGAUCGUAAAGCUCUGUUGUAAGAGAAGAACGGGUGUGAGAGUGGAAAGUUCACACUGUGACGGUAUCUUACCAGAAAGGGACGGCUAACUACGUG
rnacentral:rRNA from 1 species